CCGGAUAUUAAGGGAGUUGUAGUCUUUUAUCCCGACCGCGUUGCUUAUGCCUGUCUAGACUGUGGUCACUAGGGGGAGCUGUGGGGUGACUGACGCCACAGUCCCUCUGUUACAAGCAAUUCUUAAAAUAUAUGUAUUGCAGAUGCUUCAAAGACAUUAUAAAUACUUCAAAAAAUUCUGUUAUAUAUGACUUCCAAACUCAGAAAAAUAACACUAAGACAAUUCUUCCCAUAGAGUUAUCUAACGAAAUUUAAAUGAAAAGAAAGAACAAAAGGGUACUUAAAUCUCUGGUUGGAUUUAUUAGUUCCCUGCCCGCCAGGGUGGGUUUCCCAAAAGAGGCCUUUUCUCCUUGAAAGCAUUCAUGGCGCUUUCUUCCUAAGGGAGGUCAUGAAGUAGGCGAAACAACCUCUAGCCCAGAAUGAUUUGUUACAAUUUUGCUUUUCCAAUGAUCUCUUCCUUCAUUGUGAGUCACUGGGGACUUUAUGACGAUGUCUCUGCCUCCAUAGAGUUGACCAUACAAUAGAAAAAACACAUGUUAAGUCAUCCUGCAAAUGUGUAAAAUUACAUCUGUGACCUGCAAGAAGUCUGCACUCAGAGACAUGUUCCCAGGCAAAACAUGUUUGUAGAUGGAAAAAGUUAAUGAAUAGGCAUCAGGCAAGUGAAACUGGUAGACACGUGCAAAGGCCCAGGGGAUGGAGCAAGGCAAAUGCUAAAGCAGAUCUUUGGUUACACAGUGCACUGAAGGAUACGACACCAGAGGGGUAGAGCCAGGUUAUACAGGGGUCUCUGGUUCCUGCCCCGCAUCCCCUCCCUUCAUGGGUGAGAAGGCUUUGGAUUCCCCGUCUCUCAGUACUGACAGCUUUAGUUCCUGUUCAAGUGGGUCUGUCCCCCUCCUACUUCCUUGUGCUCCACUUCACCGCCAAAGCCAGAAGAAACUCCGGACACCAUCAACAACUCUCCUUGUGGGGCUUCCUAGACCCAGGCGCGAGCCUCGAUGAAGAAACACGCUUUUGGUGUCGCCACUUGGCCCUGCGGUUCUUGAACCAGACCUGAGGAGGAGGAAGACCAGGACAACUCAGGCCCCAAGGACCUACCUACCAUCCAAAGAACCUUGGAAGGACUAAUAGGUGGGCCAGGAUGUAGGCUUCACCAUGGAGAUGUAGGUGAAUGGAUUCGUGACACAGCCUUCCCUCACACACAGAAGAAAAGGACCAAGACUUACUAUUUUCCUAGUCUCCCCAGACUGAGCAAGCAACCAAGCUCUCUCUGUCUCUGUCUCUCUGUCUCUCUGUGUCUCUCCCCCACCCCACCUCCCCACUCUUUCUCUCUUGUGUAAACCGUGUGACCGUGCAACCUAGGUGGCUUCUCACUAUGUGAGGAGAAAGACUUUGACGAACUCACGAUCCUCCUGCCUCCAUCUCCCCAAGUGUUGGGAUUACAGAUGCAUGCCAUUAAGCACUA